UUUUAUUUAAGAGUUUGAUCCUGGCUCAGGAUGAACGCUGGCGGCGUGCCUAACACAUGCAAGUCGAGCGAGAAGGUUAUGACAGAUUCUUCGGAUGAUGGAUUAACUGGAAAGCGGCGGACGGGUGAGUAACGCGUGGGUAACCUGYCCYAUACACAGGGAUAGCCAUUGGAAACGAUGAUUAAUACCUGAUAACACAUUUKARUCGCAUGGYUKARAUGUCAAAGAUUUAUCGGUAUGGGAUGGACCCGCGUCUGAUUAGCUAGUUGGUAAGGUAAYGGCUUACCAAGGCGACG
rnacentral:rRNA from 1 species